GUAGUUCAAUAGACUAAACUGUAAUUUGCGUUAAGACAAGUCCUGCUUAUUAGUGGUUAAUAUGAUGGUAAUAUCAGUCUGGUUGUUCAAGCAAGUGAUUUGAAGCCAGGGCCUUAUUGGACUGGAAAACAAGUUUUCAAUCUUAUUAUACCAAAACAAAUUAAUCCCAUACGAACUUCUGCCUGGCACUCAGAGUCAGAAACUGGAUCCAUUCCUCCAGGGGACACUCAAGUAAGAAUAGCAAGGGGGGAGCUACUUGCUGGAACUCUUUGUAAGAAGACACUUGGAACAUCUACUGGAAGUCUGAUACAUGUUAUUUGGUGUUUUUCCUAAUUUUGAUCCCAUAUUUGUUCUGUGAGAGCAUAUGUGUCUAAUUGUGAAGGCUCUGCUGACCUGCAUCAUAGAGGAGAAGGAAUCAUGGGAUAUGAACACUCCAGAAAAAAUUGAAGCCACUGGUAAAAAGAAGGAAGAAGGAAAUUUAUUGAUCAAGGCUGGUAAAUGUGCAAAGGCUUCCGAGAAAUAUG